GGCCCCGAUAAUGUCAGGCUGCAAAUCUGACCUCCGGCAGUUGCCCGGGGCUU
rnacentral:tRNA from 1 species